UGAGAAUUCUUAGUUUAGCUCUGAGCC
rnacentral:piRNA from 1 species